rnacentral:pre_miRNA from 1 species
ACAUGGCCCUCCUUGCCGUCUUCCACAGCUUUCUUGAACUGCAUGCUGGUAGUGCUGUGUGCAUCCGUUCCAAUAUUCCAAGAGGCAGUUCAAUAAAGCUGUGGGAAAUUGCAGAGAGAGACCAG